UCAAUGAUCUAGAUUCACCAUAGGAAACCAUGUAAAAAUGCAGUCUACUCAUUCUCACUAAUUUUCUACAAUUUUUGCUCGCAUUGAUGUGUGCUUAUAAGCCUUGAUCAAUAUUGUAUCUUUGUGUUUGGGGUCAGAAUCAGGAGCUGAUUAAAAUUAUGCUAAUCUAUGGUGAGAGGACGGUGAUAAGAGGAUGGGGAGUAGAAUUUUUCUAUUAUAAUUUAAUAGUUGCUGUAAAAUGUACUGAUGCAGAAGUGUUUUAACAUUGCAGCUUUGAAGGACCUCUUCUCUCAUUACUUGGAAGCGUGGAAAUCAUAGUACUCAGAAGUUUCCGGGAAUAGAUAUUACAAAUUUCCUGAUUCUUCCCACAAUUGAGCGUAGAAAAAGAAUAAGACAACAUUUAUAUAUUUUUUUUAUAGUGAUCUGACAAGAAGAGAUUCCUCCGUGUUGGAUUCAUGCUUUCAAUGCAGCAUUUUAGAACAGCCAUCCUUCUGAGGAUAAUAUUCAUUUCUAAUGUAUAUGCCAUGCCGUCUUUACAAGAA